CUCCAAGGCUGGUCGCACCCCUUCAGCCUCCUUUUACUUACCGUUGUGUUCCGUCACCAGCAGUCUGUUGGCUAUCUCCAGACGUGUGCGGUGCUUUCUGAACUCUUGAACGCACCUCUGAAUGCUCAUCUCAUUCCCAGGACAGAGUCCUGCCCUUCCAUGAGAGUUCACUUUCUUCUUUUAAGAGAAAUGUCUUUCUUCUCCCAGGAACAGGUCAUUGGUCCUUCGUUUUUCCUCCCAUAGCUCUUCACCAGUUCAGCUAAGUCCGCCUUCUCUAUUGUGACUCAGUUUCCUUGUCUUUUCUACACUAAUUCUAAACUGUUUGAAAGCGCAAGUUUAUCGUUGACAUUUCAUUCCUGUGUUUUUCUGUUGCCUACAGACACUGUUUACUCCAAGAAUAUAGAACGUGUAGAUCUAUCCAAGGCUCUAGGUUUUAGAAACUAUUUUGUCAGAGGAAAUGCUUCAGGGAUACUCUCUUGGAGACUUCUAAGUGAUAAUAUUACUUGGAGAACUCUGAGUUUUUUAACUGAUCUUUUUUUUCUUUAUGUUUCUGAAGAUUGUCACACUUGAAAGUGACAAGUCCGACUCAGAUGAUGAUGAGCAGCAGAUGGAGCUUGCUGAAGAAGUGGAGAAUGAAAUUUGCAGAGUCGGGGAUAUGUCCAUGGAUGAGGAUGUGGCUUUAUUUCUCCAAGAAUUUAAGGCUCCUGACAUAUUCAUGGGAGUGCUGGCCAAAUCCAGGUGCCCCCGAUUAAGAUUUCUGGCCUGGAUAUCUGACACUCUGUCUGGAGCUGGAGAGGAGGAGGGAGGCCUUCACCAACAUUAUGUAUCUGAAUGACAUAAGCCUGAUGGAAGGGGACAAUGGAUUCCCCGAGCUCCGUCUAAUGCUUGAUUGUGGGUCUCUGCAUCUGCUCCCAUCAGUUGUUGAAUGAAGCUUCUCUGGUAAUAACUAUGCUAUCCUCUACAAGUAUAUCAGAGUAUCAUAAGGAAUCAUUUCAUUGACUUCCCCAUCCCCAGGAACUGUUUGACUCUAUUCUAGUUUUUUGGCUAUCCAGACCCUGGUUCCUGGCCCUCCAGACAGUGUCAAACAUGGGCGUUCUUUUGUGGUGUGGGUCUCAGGCUGGACUAGUCAUUGGUUUCACACUCCCACAUGUUCUGUGCCACCUUUACUCCAGCACAUCUUGCAGGUAGGAAAAAUUGUAGGUGGAAGGAUUUUGUGGCUGUGUUGGUAUGGUGGUAUUUUAUUUGUACUGAAAUGUGAUUUUUAAUCGUAUGUUAAUAAAUAAAGUUGCCCGGGGGUCAGAGCUAUUAGAGCCAUAGAAAAAGCUGGGCGGUGGUGGUGCAUGCCUUUAAUCCCAGAACUUGGUAGGCAGAGCUAGGUAGAUCUCUGUGUAUUCAAGGAUACAGCCAACAGACAGUGACGAGGCAGUCAUGUGGUUGGUUUUACAACCAAUGAGAAGACAGAACAGAAAGUCUAUAUAAAGACAAACAGACAGGAAGUAGGUCUCUUUCGGAGAGGUCUCUUGGCUGAAGAGGCUAGCUGCAGCAGGCGGGUAAGGCUCUUAGCUCUGAUCUCUUGGCUUUCUUCUUUGCAUUGGUUCUGUGUUUCUUAUUUUAAUAAGAUGGUUGGUUACAUCUACAUGUUGGUGUCCCAGUCCCUCCACUGGAAGCCUUGCCUAGUUACAGAAGAUGGCAGGUUCAGACUCUAACCCCCAUUACUAGGAGUUUUCACUCCUGUAGAUUCCUGGGAGUUCCCAUUGCACUAGGGUUCUGCCGCAUUCCCGAUAUGCCCCUCACUUCCAUGCAUUUCUCACAGUCCUCUCUCUCUGCACUCCCCCACCUGUUCCCUCCCGUUCCCAUCCCACCUUCCCCCAGUCUACCCACAAAAUCUAUUCCUUUCCCCCUUUCCAGGGAGAUCUAUUCACCUCCUAUUGUUUCCUCCUUGUUACCUAGCCUCUCUGGAGCUGUGGAUUGUAGCAUGGUUAUUUUUUACUUUACAGCUAAUAUCCACUUAUAAGUGACUACAUACCACGCUUAUCUUUCGGGGUCUGAGUUACCACACUCUGGAUGACUUUUCCUAGUUCCAUCCAUUUGCUUGCAAAUUUCAUGAUGUUAUUUCUUUUAACAGCAAAGUAAUUGAAAAAUGGAUAAUGAAAAUGAGGUACAGUUACACAAUGGUCAUGGAUAUUAUUUAUAACUGAGGUAUUCCUGUCCUAGGAAUACCAUCUCAGACUUCUAUCUAGCCUCCUCUUUCAGCAGGUCCCUCCUCAGCUAACAGUAUUUUCUUUUAUAAUGCAAUCUGAACUGUUUCUAAUUGAAUCCCUCUUUCUUCUUCUCAGACAUUUAUCACUGUGGGCCAUGUCUUCACAGACUCUUCAGGGCAAUGUCUCACAAACAGGAAGGGUUAUAGUUGCCUCCCACUCAUCUGUCUCUGCAUGUGGUGCUCACCAUUUACCUGUUGUGAUCUAAAGAUCUGGAAGGAAAAAAACUCCAUGGAUGUGAUUCCCCCUCUUCAUGGCAAUGUCUCAUCUCCCUCUGCAGCUGCUGUCCUCAGCCCUGCCUCCUGUCAUGGCCUGAAUAUGAAGAAACACAGGAGGAAGAGGUGUUUUCAUGGUACUGGAGUGAAUUCCACAAUUUAGGCCAUUAGUCACAAAAAAAUGUGGCUGAUCUAUGGGAAGAUACGAUGCAUUACAUUGAUGCCUAACAUUCUUAAGUAAUGUGAAAUCCCCUUGCUGAUAAUUGUGGAACCCAGUGCCCCUCUUUGUUCCUUGGAAAGAGAUAAGACACCAGCUGGUGGACUGAUAGCAAUAAAGAACUGAAUUAGAGGAAGUGGAGAUUGUCAUUAAGACAUACAAGUGGAUGAAACUGUGAAUGGUGUUAUCCUAACAGGAAAACUUGAGGGAGCCUUUUUCUAUUCUACUGUCUAUACAGAGAUGAUGCUACGCACGAGGAAAG